GAUGAACGCUGGCGGCGUGCCUAAUACAUGCAAGUCGAGCGAACAGAUGAGGAGCUUGCUCCUCUGACGUUAGCGGCGGACGGGUGAGUAACACGUGGAUAACCUACCUAUAAGACUGGGAUAACUUCGGGAAACCGGAGCUAAUACCGGAUAAUAUAUUGAACCGCAUGGUUCAAUAGUGAAAGACGGUUUUGCUGUCACUUAUAGAUGGAUCCGCGCCGCAUUAGCUAGUUGGUAAGGUAACGGCUUACCAAGGCGACGAUGCGUAGCCGACCUGAGAGGGUGAUCGGCCACACUGGAACUGAGACACGGUCCAGACUCCUACGGAAGGCAGCAGUAGGGAAUCUUCCGCAAUGGGCGAAAGCCUGACGGAGCAACGCCGCGUGAGUGAUGAAGGUCUUCGGAUCGUAAAACUCUGUUAUUAGGGAAGAACAAAUGUGUAAGUAACUAUGCACGUCUUGACGGUACCUAAUCAGAAAGCCACGGCUAACUACGUG
rnacentral:rRNA from 1 species